rnacentral:rRNA from 1 species
GACGAACGCUGGCGGCGUGCUUAACACAUGCAAGUCGAACGGAAAGGCCCUGCUUUUGUGGGGUGCUCGAGUGGCGAACGGGUGAGUAACACGUGAGUAACCUGCCCUUGGCUUUGGGAUAACUUCAGGAAACUGGGGCUAAUACCGGAUAGGAGCUCCUGCUGCAUGGUGGGGGUUGGAAAGUUUCGGCGGUUGGGGAUGGACUCGCGGCUUAUCAGCUUGUUGGUGGGGUAGUGGCUUACCAAGGCUUUGACGGGUAGCCGGCCUGAGAGGGUGACCGGCCACAUUGGGACUGAGAUACGGCCCAGACUCCUACGGGCGGCAGCAGUGGGGAAUAUUGCACAAUGGGCGGAAGCCUGAUGCAGCAACGCCGCGUGCGGGAUGACGGCCUUCGGGUUGUAAACCGCUUUCGCCUGUGACGAAGCGUGAGUGACGGUAAUGGGUAAAGAAGCACCGGCUAACUACGUG